AUGGCGGAGAGGGUGAGGCGGCUGGCGUCGCAGCGCGUGGUGGUGAUCUUCGGGACGAGCAACUGCUGCAUGUGCCACGUGGUGAAGACGCUCUUCACGGAGAUGGGCGUCAGCUGGACGGUGCACGAGCUGGUCAAGGACCCCCGCGGGAAGGACGUUGAGAGGGCGCUCGCUGGCAUGGUCGGCCGGAGCCCGCCCGUGCCGGCGGUCUUCAUAGGCGGCGCGCUCGUCGGGCCCACCGACAAGGUCAUGGCGCUGCACCUCGGCGGCCAGCUCGUGCCGCUCCUACGCCAGGCCGGCGCCCUCUGGCUCUGA
rnacentral:rRNA from 1 species